rnacentral:rRNA from 1 species
AGUGAACGCUGGCGGUAGGCCUAACACAUGCAAGUCGAACGGCAGCACAGUAAGAGCUUGCUCUUACGGGUGGCGAGUGGCGGACGGGUGAGGAAUACAUCGGAAUCUACUUUUUCGUGGGGGAUAACGUAGGGAAACUUACGCUAAUACCGCAUACGACCUACGGGUGAAAGCAGGAGAUCUUCGGACCUUGCGCGAUUGAAUGAGCCGAUGUCGGAUUAGCUAGUUGGCGGGGUAAGGGCCCACCAAGGCGACGAUCCGUAGCUGGUCUGAGAGGAUGAUCAGCCACACUGGAACUGAGACACGGUCCAGACUCCUACGGGAGGCAGCAGUGGGGAAUAUUCGACAAUGGGCGCAAGCCUGAUCCAGCCAUACCGCGUGAGUGAAGAAGGCCUUCGGGUUGUAAAGCCCUGUUGUUGGGAAAGAAAAGCAGCAGGUUAAUCCCCCGCUGUUCUGACGGUACCCAAAGAAUAAGCACCGGCUAACUUCGUG